UACGGGAGGCAGCAGUAGGGAAUCUUCCACAAUGGACGAAAGUCUGAUGGAGCAACGCCGCGUGAGUGAUGAAGGUUUUCGGAUCGUAAAACUCUGUUGUAAGGGAAGAACAGGUAUGAGAGGUAAUGCUCAUGCUAUGACGGUACCU
rnacentral:rRNA from 1 species